rnacentral:rRNA from 1 species
GCAUAACGCGAAGAACCUUACCUACCCUUGACAUGUCUGGAAGAUCCAAGAGAUUGGAUUGUGCUCGCAAGAGAACCGGAACACAGGUGCUGCAUGGCUGUCGUCAGCUCGUGUCGUGAGAUGUUGGGUUAAGUCCCGCAACGAGCGCAACCCUUGCCAUUAGUUGCCACAUUUAGUUGGGCACUCUAGCGGGACUGCCGGUGACAAACCGGAGGAAGGUGGGGAUGACGUCAAGUCCUCAUGGCCCUUAUGGGUAGGGCUUCACACGUCAUACAAUGGUCGGGACAGAGGGCUGCCAAACCGCGAGGUGGAGCCAAUCCCAGAAACCCGAUCGUAGUCCGGAUCGCAGUCUGCAACUCGACUGCGUGAAGUCGGAAUCGCUAGUAAUCGCGGAUCAGAAUGUCGCGGUGAAUACGUUCCCGGGUCUUGUACACACCG